rnacentral:rRNA from 1 species
GACGAACGCUGGCGGCGUGCUUAACACAUGCAAGUCGAACGGAAAGGCCCUGCUUUUGUGGGGUGCUCGAGUGGCGAACGGGUGAGUAACACGUGAGUAACCUGCCCUUUACUUUGGGAUAACUUCAUGAAACUGGGGCUAAUACCGGAUAGGAGCUCCUGCUGCAUGGUGGGGGUUGGAAAGUUUCGGCGGUUGGGGAUGGACUCGCGGCUUAUCAGCUUGUUGGUGGGGUAGUGGCUUACCAAGGCUUUGACGGGUAGCCGGCCUGAGAGGGUGACCGGCCACAUUGGGACUGAGAUACGGCACAGACUCCUACGGGAGGCAGCAGUGGGGAAUAUUGCACAAUGGGCGGAAGACUGAUGCAGCAACGCCGCGUGCGGGAUGACGGCCUUCGGGUUGUAAACCGAUUUCGCCUGUGACGAAGAGUGAGUGACGGUAAUGGGUAAAGAAGCACCGGCUAACUACGUG